CCAACAGCCGCAGCUAGCCCUACUGCAACCACCUGCUGCCCAGUCCUACUAGACCCCAGGGAAGCCACCCUUCUGAACCCAAAAAGUAGGAAACAGGAGGGUGGCUAAAAAUAUGUAUUUAAAAAAAAAAAAUUAUGUGGGUAUCUGUGACAUUGUGUGUAUAUAUCGUGUGUAUGUCUCUAUGUGUGUUUGAAUGUGUGUAUCUAAAAAUCUGUGUGUGUGUCUGCCUGUUUCAGUGUGUGUGUUUGUGUGUCUGUCUGCCAGUGAGUGUCUGCCUGUCAAUCAGUAAGUGGAUGUGUCUGUCUGUCUGCCACUGAGUGUGUCUGUAUGUCAGUGAGUGUCUGUCUGUCUGCCCAUCAGUCAGUGAGUGUAUGCGUCUGUCAGUCAGUAAGUGUAUGUCUGUCUGUCAGUCAGUAAGUGUAUGUGUCUGUCAGUCAGUGAGUGUGUAUGUCUGUCAGUCAAUGAGUGUGUGGGUCUGUCUGUCAGUGAAUGUGUCUGUCUGCCUGUCAGUGAAUAUAUAUGUCUCUGUCUGGCAGUCAGUGAGUGUGUGAGUCUCUGUCUGUCAGUCAGUGAGUGUGUGGGUCUGUCAGUCAGUGCGUGUGUGUGGGUCUGUCUGUCAGUGAGUGUGUGUGUAUCAGUCCAGGUGUCUGUUAGUAAGUGUGCGGGUUUAGGUCACCAGUGCCCCUUCAAUCAAUUGGGAAUGGUGUUUUUACUCACCUUUUUUCCCCAACGCUGUGCCAGUCUCCAUAGCUGAGAUUAUCAAUCUUGAUGAUCUCAGCAACUCCAAUGCUUUCCUGUAGGAAAGCACUGGGAGCUAUUGAGCAUGCGCAGUAAAAUGCUGCACCAAUCAGCAUCUCCUCAUAGAGAUGCAUUAAAUCAAUGCAUCUCUUUGGGGAGCAUUCUGCGUCUCCAUGCAGUUAGGAAACACUUUAGUGGCCGUUUGAGUGACUGCCACUAGAGAUGUUACUAGGCAGCAAUGUAAACUUUUCUCUGGAAAUAUAGUGUUUACGUGGAAAAGUCUGCAGGGAUAGGCUAUAGACACCAGAGCCACUAUAUUAGCCUGUAGUGGUUCUAGUGACUAUAGUGUUCCUUUAAGAAUUGUAUUUUCGUUGUUGAAAAAAAAUGGCUCCUAACAUUUUAAGCAGGCUCCUAGAUCCCAAGCAAAUUUGUCAAGCCCUGCUUUACACAAAUAUAUGGGUAAAGGGACACUAUAGUCACCUGAACAACGUUAGCUUAAUGAAGCAGUUUUGGUGUAUAGAACAUGCCCCUGCAGCCUCACUGC